rnacentral:lncRNA from 1 species
UUAACUUUUUUUUUUUUCUUUUUUAACAGGAAAUGUACUGUGCACUCAGAAUGCAAAGGGAGAAAAGAGAUGUAAGGGGAACAAUCCUGCCACCCCAUGCAAGAAGUCACCAAUCCCUGGUGCCCUUGACCCCCAUCUCUGUGGCUCAGACUACCUCCGUGGCCCUGCUGUGCGCUCUGACUCUUCAUCACUGCAAGACAAACUGCACCAGAGCUCGGACUUCUCCAGGGGAUGUAACACCAAUAGUGCAAUUAGGAAGUGUGGAACUGCUGUCCUCUACUUACCUGAGCCUGGUCAUCACCCCAGGACCAACCUUUCUGACUUUGGUCCUAAGGCCCGCUACCUUGAGACAGGGAUAAAAAUAGAACUACCCCAGGAAGUUUCAAGUUCCAGACCAGGAGGCAUGGAUGCCAGACGUGCCAGCGUGACCUACAAUAGCCUUCCUUCACCUGGAGCUCCUUGAAGGUUCCUGCAUGUGGAUGGCAUCACAGGCACCCGAUUAUAACAGAGUGAAUUCUGGGAAAGGACAUGUGCAGUAGCCUCAGCACUCUGAUGGUCACACUGUGCAUCAUGCCCUGAAAGACCCAGUGGGCACCGCCUUUCACCUGGCACAUUCUAGAUAUUUGUACCCCCCCACCCCGCCUUCAGUGCUUCCUGCUGGAGUGUCCUCAGAGCGUACCAUCAUCUUAUUAAACUCUGCUGCUGUUCCCUUCCUUACCUUUGCGGGCCACUUCUAAUUUUUCACCCCAAACACUUGAGCCUCAAACCCGUGAGCUAGAAACCCAUUUGCGAUGCAUCGCCUGUGGUAACACCAGAACAGUAUGCAGCACCCUCUGUAGGACUGGCCUUGGGGUCAGGUGAUGCACAGGAGCAGGAGUUAAUGCACACGGAGAGCACA